rnacentral:rRNA from 1 species
CCUACGGGGGGCUGCAGUGGGGAAUAUUGGACAAUGGGGGGAACCCUGAUCCAGCCAUGCCGCGUGUGUGAAGAAGGCCCUCGGGUUGUAAAGCACUUUCAGUGAGGAAGAACGCCUGGUGGUUAAUACCCAUCAGGAAAGACAUCACUCACAGAAGAAGCACCGGCUAACUCCGUGCCAGCAGCCGCGGUAAUACGGAGGGUGCGAGCGUUAAUCGGAAUUACUGGGCGUAAAGCGCGCGUAGGUGGCUUGAUAAGCCGGUUGUGAAAGCCCCGGGCUCAACCUGGGAACGGCAUCCGGAACUGUCAAGCUGGGGUGCAGGAGAGGAAGGUAGAAUUCCCGGUGUAGCGGUGAAAUGCGUAGAGAGCGGGAGGAAUACCAGUGGCGAAGGCGGCCUUCUGGACUGACACUGACACUGAGGUGCGAAAGCGUGGGUAGCAAACAGGAUUAGAUACCCUAGUAGUC